rnacentral:misc_RNA from 1 species
UGAUAUGAUACAUUGCUUUGAUAGUGACGGAGAUGAGAAGCUCGGUUCUUGCUCUUCAUUUUGUUCAGUUUUCCUUAGUUUUAUCAAUUAAUAUAAUGCAAAUAUAUUAUUACUGGUUAGUCUUAAUGGUACAUUGGAAAAGGAUACAAAAAUGAUCAUGGUUGAUCAGUGAUUGUGACUCUGAUUAUUUGUCUGGAUUGGUCUUGUCUAAUGACCAAAUGUAAGCUUGAUGUGCUUCAGGAAUGUGUUCAGGCUCUGGAAUGAAGUUGGACCAUCAAUUCCCACCCUCCACAAGUGUUUCUUUAUUUUUUUUUCAAAAGCCCUUCACGGGUGUAGCAAAUGUAACAUAAUGAUUAUCCAGAGGCUCCUUCUAUUGAACCUUUUUGUGCUAAUGCUUGGCCGGAGUCUCACAUAUUUUGUAAAUUGAAUUUGCAUCCUUCUGGGAAUUAAUUUUUAUCUUCAACAAUAUUUGUCUGUUACCUAACAUGCCCUUAAUUUAAAAAACAAAAUUGUGUCCAAAGCAGUAAUUUCCAGAACCAAGAAAAGUACUUCUCGUCUUGCUAAAAUGCUGAAGCAAUUCGCAGCUCUGCAAGAAACAUGAGCACCGAGGCAGCACAUGAAAACUUUGGGGCCUCAAACUUGGCUCCAGCAAAUAAAAUCAAAUAGCCUAACCCCAAGGUUGGGGCUGACCUGACUGCAAGGCCCUGUGAGCCAUCUUGGCGCAGCUCUCACACGGCUCAUUAUAACAUGAAAAUUAUGAACAUGUACAUCCAUAUGAGGACAAAUGUACGCGAGAGAGCGUUGAGGGAAAAAUACUCACCAAUAAGUUUUGCAAAUCACAGAACCUACAUUAAAAUAGUGAACAACAAUUUCAUCUUACCAGUCAUAACAUUUGACAUGUUUCUCUAAGGUCAAUACAGACCCAUAAGUUAACAUUCCACAUUCCAAUUUUUCAGCAAGGAUGUCAGGCAAUCAUUGACAGGCAACUUGACCGGUCAUGUCCCUUUCAUGAGGUAUCCCAAUAUGAUGCCAAUCAAACCAACAACAAUAACGUAUAUAUAUGGGAUACCACCGCGACUUCUGGAUUGAUGCAUCAACAGCUCCUGCAAUGAAAUUGUGCAGGCGUUCAGUUUUAAAAUAGGAUGGUAUUUGUGUUGCAAUUUUUUUUCCUUUUUUCAACAAUAAACAUAUCAUUAUCACAUUUUUGGGUGUCAGUAACAGGUAAAUAAUUAAAAGCAAAUGCUAAUAUCACAAAAAGCCAUUUCAUGAAUUUCUUAAUGGAUGCAAAAGAACUGUAUAACCAGUCUUUAGCAUUUGCUAAUUAUGUAUAUAUUGUGUCUUUCACCUACUGAUUUGCAAGGUGUUUAUUUAGAGAGCACAUUUUUCUAGUCUUUUCCAUUAUUCCAUACCUUUUGUUAAUACCAGUAACAAAGAUCUCAAAAAAGGUAAACGAUUGAUAGCUGUUUUAGUAGCAUUACAGCACAAAACCUUGCAUAAUAACAAGUGCAUUA